GGCUUUCUUACAUUAAGGAAGACAUCAGACCACUUACUCAGUCCGAGGUUUUCUUAGAUGGAAAAAUAUAGCAGCCAAAGAUUGUUUCAAAUUACAUCUCAAAAUCACAAAAUUCUUCCCCAAAUUUGUAAAGCCCCUACUGUGUGUCUAUCCUCCCGGAAAGAAAUGGGAAGGGAAAGCAGAAAAGCAGAGGACACACGUUGGCUAAAUUUGUCCCAUUCCCUGGAGCACAGUCGCUUCCUCAAAACCGCACCAGGAGAGCAUUUCUGGUUUCUCAUGUGUCUGUGCUGUAUCCUACAGGUACGUCUGGGUUGAAAGGAGACUGGGCAAUCACAAAGUGUCUCUCUGGGUAUAUUAUUACCUCCCUGAAAGCAUGAGGGUUAUCUUUAUAUUGAGAAAGG
rnacentral:lncRNA from 1 species